rnacentral:rRNA from 1 species
UACGUAGGGGGCUAGCGUUGUCCGGAUUUAUUGGGCGUAAAGAGCGUGUAGGCGGCCAGGUAGGUCUGCUGUGAAAACUCGAGGCUCAACCUCGAGACGUCGGCGGAAACCAUCUGGCUAGAGUCCGGAAGAGGAGAGUGGAAUUCCUGGUGUAGCGGUGAAAUGCGCAGAUAUCAGGAAGAACACCCGUGGCGAAGGCAAUUCACUGGCACAUUCCUGACACUCAAACACGAAAGCGUGGGUAGCGAAUGGG